AGCAGCCGCGGUGAUUCCAGCUCCAAUAGCGUAUAUUAAAGUUGUUGCAGUUAAAAAGCUCGUAGUUGAAUUUCGGGAUCAAAGGAUCGGUCAUGCCUUGGUAUGUACUGGUUUUAUUGGUUCUCACCUUCUAAAGAACCAUAAUGUCAUUCAUUUGAUGUUAUGGGGAAUUAGGACUGUUACCUUGAAAAAUUAGAGUGUUUAGAGCAGGCUCACGCUUGAAUACAUUAGCAUGGAAUAAUGAAAUAGGACGUUUGAUUCUAUUUUGUUGGUUUCUAGGAUCGACGUAAUGAUUAAUAGGGAUAGUUGGGGGCAUUAGUAUUCAAUUGUCAGAGGUGAAAUUCUUGGAUUUAUUGAAGACUAACUACUGCGAAAGCAUUUGCCAAGGAUGUUUUCAUUAAUCAAGAACGAAAGUUAGGGGAUCGAAGACGAUCAGAUACCGUCGUAGUCUUAACCAUAAACUAUAGCCGACUAGGGAUCGGAUGAUGUAAUUUUAAUGA
rnacentral:misc_RNA from 1 species